AACGAACGCUGGCGGCAUGCCUAACACAUGCAAGUCGAACGAGACCUUCGGGUCUAGUGGCGCACGGGUGCGUAACGCGUGGGAACCUGCCCUUAGGUUCGGAAUAACUCCCCGAAAGGGGUGCUAAUACCGGAUAAUGUCUUCGGACCAAAGAUUUAUCGCCUUUGGAUGGGCCCGCGUUGGAUUAGCUAGUUGGUAGGGUAAAAGCCUACCAAGGAGACGAUCCAUAGCUGGUCUGAGAGGAUGCUAAGCCACACUGGGACUGAGACACGGCCCAGACUCCUACGCGAGGCAGCAGUGGGGAAUAUUGGACAAUGGGCGAAAGCCUGAUCCAGCAAUGCCGCGUGAGUGAUGAAGGCCUUAGGGUUGUAAAGCUCUUUUACCCGGGAUGAUAAUGACAGUACCGGGAGAAUAAGCUCCGGCUAACUCCGUG
rnacentral:rRNA from 1 species